rnacentral:rRNA from 1 species
AGAGUUUGAUCCUGGCUCAGAACGAACGCUAGCGGCGCGCCUAACACAUGCAAGUCGCGGGAGAAUAGCGGGGCAACUCGCUUAGUAAACCGGCGCACGGGUGAGUAGUACGUGGGUAAUCUGCCUCGAUGACGGGAAUAACGUUCCGAAAGGAGCGCUAAUGCCCGAUAAGACCACGGCGGCUUCGGUCGCUGCGGUAA